rnacentral:rRNA from 1 species
ACACUCCUACGGGAGGCAGCAGUGGGGAAUUUUGGACAAUGGGCGAAAGCCUGAUCCAGCAAUGCCGCGUGUGUGAAGAAGGCCUUCGGGUUGUAAAGCACUUUUGUCCGGAAAGAAAUCCUUGGCUCUAAUACAGUCGGGGGAUGACGGUACCGGAAGAAUAAGCACCGGCUAACUACGUGCCAGCAGCCGCGGUAAUACGUAGGGUGCGAGCGUUAAUCGGAAUUACUGGGCGUAAAGCGUGCGCAGGCGGUUUGCUAAGACCGAUGUGAAAUCCCCGGGCUCAACCUGGGAACUGCAUUGGUGACUGGCAGGCUAGAGUAUGGCAGAGGGGGGUAGAAUUCCACGUGUAGCAGUGAAAUGCGUAGAGAUGUGGAGGAAUACCGAUGGCGAAGGCAGCCCCCUGGGCCAAUACUGACGCUCAUGCACGAAAGCGUGGGGAGCAAACAGGAUUAGAAACCCUGGUAGUCCCAUGAU